rnacentral:lncRNA from 1 species
AGGCAGGUGGUCAACUUCGGCCCUGGGCCCACCAAGGUGCUGAGCUCAGUGUUGUUAGAGAUAGAACAAUAAUUAUUAGACCACAAAGGAAUUGGCAUUAGUGUUCUUGAAAUGAACAACAGGUCAUCCAAUUUCACUAAAAUUAUUAAUACCACAGAGAAUCUGGUGUGGGAAUUGUUAGCCAUUCCAAACAACUACUGUACAAGGUCAUUUUUGUGCAAGAAGGUGGGUCUGGCCAGUUCAGUGCUGUCCCCUUAAACCCAAAGUGCCUGAAAGCAGGAAGGUGUGCCAACUAUGUGGUGACAGGAGCUUGGUCAGCUAAAGCUGCAGAAGCAUCCAAGAAGUUUGAGAUCGUGAAUAUCAGCUACCCUAAACUUGGGAGUUAUAUGAAAAUUCCAGAUUCAACACCUGGAACCUCACCCUUACAGCUUCGAUGUGUAAUGCUGCACAAAUGACUGGCACAGAGUGGAGUCUGACUUUAUAUCUGAUCUCAGGAAGCACUACUGGUUUGCCACAUAUCCUCAAACUUUCUAUCGAAGGCAGUGGAUGCUUCCAGGUUUGGUGUGAUUUUUGCUGGUGCCCAGAAGCAUGUUGGUUGUUUUGGGAUGACAGUAGUGAUCAUCUGCAAUGACUGCUGGGGUCACCCUCAGAGAAUGGCCCUCCAUCCGGGAAUACAAAGUGCAUGUUGGAAACAACUUCUUGUACAACAUGCAACAGUAUUUCAGCAACUAUGUCAUGGGCUUGUUCCUGGUGUAGAUUAAGAAUGAUGGCACUGCAGCAGUGGUGGAGAAGCUUAGCUCCAUCAAAUCUAAAAUAAUAAUUUAUGAUAUUUUUAAUAAUUCUUAAGGAUUCUAUGAACAUCCAGUAGAGCCUCAUAAUAUUCCAUUAUGAGAAAGAUGAAUAUUCCAUUCCAUACUGGCAAUGUCAAAGGAGAUGGUGCUUUAUAAAAAAAAGAUUUCUUGAAAAAGCUCU